UACAGAGGUCUCAAGCGUUGUUCGGAUUCAUUGGGCGUAAAGGGUGCGUAGGUGGCGGGGUAAGUCAGGUGUGAAAUCUCGGAGCUCAACUCCGAAACUGCACUUGAUACUGCCUUGCUCGAGUACUGGAGAGGAGAUUGGAAUUUACGGUGUAGCGGUGAAAUGCGUAGAUAUCGUAAGGAAGACCAGUGGCGAAGGCGGGUCUCUGGACAGUUCCUGACGCUGAGGCACGAAGGUCAGGGGAGCAAACGGG
rnacentral:rRNA from 1 species